rnacentral:lncRNA from 1 species
CACUACUGCCUGAGACUUCACCUACUCAUCAUUGUGCUGACAUUCUAGCAGAAGAAACUCAGACUCAAAAUGAUCUGAAGGAUCAGAUCAGCCUUGGCCUGAGAGUUUGAGCUGGUACACGGAUGGCAGUAGCCUGGAGGUUAAAUCUCCUUUGGCUCCUUGCCGUGUGGGACUGAGCAACUGCUAGAUCCUUGGACUUCCAUUCUACAGCUGCUACUGACUGUUGUUGGGUGUUGGACUGCAGGCGUGACCGGAAGCCCAUCACAGCAGAAAAGAACAGAGCACUUUAACCUAUAAAGACAAAGAAUUCUUCAGUUUGCAGUUGCAGUUCCUGCCCAAUGGUUUCUUUUGCUCAGUGGACCGUUAGUAAAAUGCGUGGGAAAAGUUGGACUGAAAAUGGGGAGAGAAGGAGUCCCCUCCACAACCUCAUGCUCAAGAGAUUCAGAGGGAGCACCCUCAAAAACCAAGUGCUAAAGAGGCUCAGAACGAGGACCCUCAAGAACUUCGUGCUCAAGAGAUUCAGAGGGAGCACCCUCAAGGACCAAGUGCUCAAGAGACUC